AACGAACGCUGGCGGCAUGCCUAACACAUGCAAGUCGAACGAGACCUUCGGGUCUAGUGGCGCACGGGUGCGUAACGCGUGGGAACCUGCCCUUAGGUUCGGAUUAACUCCCCGAAAGGGGUGCUAAUACCGGAUAAUGUCUUCGGACCAAAGAUUUAUCGCCUUUGGAUGGGCCCGCGUUGGAUUAGCUAGUUGGUAGGGUAAAAGCCUACCAAGGCGACGAUCCAUAGCUGGUCUGAGAGGAUGAUCAGCCACACUGGGACUGAGACACGGCCCAGACUCCUACGGGAGGCAGCAGUGGGGAAUAUUGGACAAUGGGCGAAAGCCUGAUCCAGCAAUGCCGCGUGAGUGAUGAAGGCCUUAGGGUUGUAAAGCUCUUUUACCCGGGAUGAUAAUGACAGUACCGGGAGAAUAAGCUCCGGCUAACUCCGUG
rnacentral:rRNA from 1 species